UGCAAGUCGAACGAUGAUGCCCAGCUUGCUGGGUGGAUUAGUGGCGAACGGGUGAGUAACACGUGAGUAACCUGCCCCUGACUCUGGGAUAAGCGUUGGAAACGACGUCUAAUACUGGAUAUGAUCACUGGCCGCAUGGUCUGGUGGUGGAAAGAUUUUUUGGUUGGGGAUGGACUCGCGGCCUAUCAGCUUGUUGGUGAGGUAAUGGCUCACCAAGGCGACGACGGGUAGCCGGCCUGAGAGGGUGACCGGCCACACUGGGACUGAGACACGGCCCAGACUCCUACGGGAGGCAGCAGUGGGGAAUAUUGCACAAUGGGCGAAAGCCUGAUGCAGCAACGCCGCGUGAGGGAUGACGGCCUUCGGGUUGUAAACCUCUUUUAGUAGGGAAGAAGCGAAAGUGACGGUACCUGCAGAAAAAGCACCGGCUAACUACGUGCCAGCAGCCGCGGUAAUACGUAGGGUGCAAGCGUUGUCCGGAAUUAUUGGGCGUAAAGAGCUCGUAGGCGGUUUGUCGCGUCUGCUGUGAAAUCCCGAGGCUCAACCUCGGGCUUGCAGUGGGUACGGGCAGACUAGAGUGCGGUAGGGGAGAUUGGAAUUCCUGGUGUAGCGGUGGAAUGCGCAGAUAUCAGGAGGAACACCGAUGGCGAAGGCAGAUCUCUGGGCCGUAACUGACGCUGAGGAGCGAAAGCAUGGGGAGCGAACAGGAUUAGAUACCCUGGUAGUCCAUGCCGUAAACGUUGGGCGCUAGAUGUAGGGACCUUUCCACGGUUUCUGUGUCGUAGCUAACGCAUUAAGCGCCCCGCCUGGGGAGUACGGCCGCAAGGCUAAAACUCAAAGGAAUUGACGGGGGCCCGCACAAGCGGCGGAGCAUGCGGAUUAAUUCGAUGCAACGCGAAGAACCUUACCAAGGCUUGACAUACACCGGAAACGGCCAGAGAUGGUCGCCCCCUUGUGGUCGGUGUACAGGUGGUGCAUGGUUGUCGUCAGCUCGUGUCGUGAGAUGUUGGGUUAAGUCCCGCAACGAGCGCAACCCUCGUUCUAUGUUGCCAGCGGGUUAUGCCGGGGACUCAUAGGAGACUGCCGGGGUCAACUCGGAGGAAGGUGGGGAUGACGUCAAAUCAUCAUGCCCCUUAUGUCUUGGGCUUCACGCAUGCUACAAUGGCCGGUACAAAGGGCUGCGAUACCGUAAGGUGGAGCGAAUCCCAAAAAGCCGGUCUCAGUUCGGAUUGAGGUCUGCAACUCGACCUCAUGAAGUCGGAGUCGCUAGUAAUCGCAGAUCAGCAACGCUGCGGUGAAUACGUUCCCGGGCCUUGUACACACCGCCCGUCAAGUCAUGAAAGUCGGUAACACCCGAAGCCGGUGGCCUAACCC
rnacentral:rRNA from 2 species